AUAAAAGUCCCCGCCAAAACAAACUCAAUCACAUAUCUCUCCGAUCUGAAUGCGAAACAAAAAGUGUAAAUCCAAACCAGAAGCAAGAUUCAAAGCAACGACAUGCCGUCUUAGACGAUGGAGAAAGGCCUAGUGUCAGUGGACCGGUGGACGGAGGGAAGCCAGGUGUACUUCCUGACUCACCUGCACUCGGACCACACCCAAGGUUUGACCUCUAGGUGGGCGAGGGGUCCUCUCUUCUGCUCGAGGCUCACCUCUCAGCUCUUUCCUUCCAAGUUCUUAGACUUCGACCUCUCCUUUCUUCGCGUCAUGGAUAUCGGCGUUUGGUAUUCCAUUUCUCUCGUUUCUCCUUCAUCUGGAUCCCAGACUGUCUUACAAGCAAUGGCCAUCGAUGCUCAUCACUGUCCUGGUGCAGUUAUGUUCUUAUUUCGGGGAGAUUUUGGUUGCAUACUCUACACCGGUGAUUUUCGGUGGGAAGCUAAAAGUGAGCGGGCGAAGAUAGGGAGAACCAUGCUCCUUAAUGCUCUAAAGGAUGACAGUGUCGAUAUCCUUUACUUGGACAACACAUACUGCAAUCCUUCAUUUGAUUUUCCACCUCGAGAAGUGGCUGCCAAGCAGGUUGUUGAUAUUAUUGCAUCCCAUCCAGAUCAUGACAUUAUCAUUGGAAUCGACUCUUUGGGGAAAGAGGAUCUUUUACUUCACAUUUCACGUGUGCUUAAAAUAAAGAUUUGGGUGUGGCCAGAACGGUUGGAAACAAUGCAUCUUCUUGGGUUCCAUGACAUAUUCACCACUAAAACUUCUGUGACUAGAGUGCGAGCCGUUCCUCGCUAUAGUUUUAGCAUUGAGACUCUAGAGGGGUUAAAUACAAUGCGUCCAACAAUAGGAAUAAUGCCAUCCGGUCUUCCAUGGGUGGAGAAAACUGCUAAAGAAGAUGACAAUCUUUUUGGUUCCUUUUUAACUUCUCGUCAUAAAAAGGGAAAAUUGAGUGAAGAAGGUGGGACCUGGACUGAUCAGCUGAAUGGAAGUGUUGUGGAAAGGUUCCAUCAAUACAUAUAUUCAGUUCCAUACUCUGAUCAUUCUUGCUUCACAGAGAUACAGGAGUUCAUUGAGCUUGUCCAGCCAACUAGCAUUAAAGGGAUUGUGUCUACAUCUUCUUUUUAUGCUGACCCUCUUUACUAUUUUGGCCAACUUUGUGGAGAAAACCGGCUAUCAAAGAGGUUUUGCUACCAGCGUGGAAAGAAAGAUGGAGGCGAUAGAGUGGUUGCUUGUGAAACCAAAUCUUAUUCUGGAAAUUGUAGUUCCACUAAGGCAGCAAGUAAAAGGAGGAUGGGAAGGCUGAGCUGGGUAAGGGCAAUGAGAAGAUUACACCGUGGCGCCAAAAUUGAAGAAAAUGACUCUUCUGAUUGAUAAGUUUAGUUUUGCCAUUAGGGUACCUAGACAAUUUGAGUGAUGUUUUCUUGUAAAUGAACGUAUUAUUUCAUAACGCUGGUGUACAUUGAAAUUUAUGAGGCACCAACAUUUUAUCCCUGGUGAAAUGUUGGUGUUGGACAAUUUUUCAACAUGACAAACCUCCGACAAUGCACCUACGCGAGUUCGACACAUGCCAUAUGUGUAGAAUUCGGACACUUUCGAGAUAUGGGAU
rnacentral:misc_RNA from 1 species